rnacentral:rRNA from 1 species
UACGGAAGGGGCAAGCGUUGUUCGGAAUCAUUGGGCGUAAAGGGCGCGUAGGUGGUUCUGUAUGUCUACCGUGAAAGCGUACGGCUCAACCGUAUUUUGUCGGUGGAAACUGCAGGACUUGAGGCUGGGAGGGGCUGGUGGAAUUCCCUGUGUAGCGGUGAAAUGCGUAGAGAUGGGGGAGAACACUCGUGGCGAAGGCGGCCAGCUAGACCAGUUCUGACACUGAGGCGCGACAGCGUGGGGAGCAACCAGG